rnacentral:rRNA from 1 species
UACGUAGGGUGCAAGCGUUGUCCGGAAUUAUUGGGCGUAAAGAGCUCGUAGGCGGUCUGUCGCGUCGGCUGUGAAAACCCGGAGCUCAACUCCGGGCCUGCAGUCGAUACGGGCAAACUGGAGUGUUGCAGGGGAGACUGGAAUUCCUGGUGUAGCGGUGAAAUGCGCAGAUAUCAGGAGGAACACCGGUGGCGAAGGCGGGUCUCUGGGCAACAACUGACGCUGAGGAGCGAGAGCGUGGGGAGCGAACAGG